GGAGCCUUCUGGAAAGCGGCCGGAUGUGUGGAGGCAGAGAGGCAGCAUCCAGGCGCUGGUCGCCUUCGGGACAUGCUGCUGCUGAAGAAACACACGGAGGACAUCAGCAGCGUCUACGAGAUCCGUGAGAGGCUCGGAUCGGGUGCCUUCUCCGAGGUGGUGCUGGCCCAGGAGCGGGGCUCCGCACACCUCGUGGCCCUCAAGUGCAUCCCCAAGAAGGCCCUCCGGGGCAAGGAGGCCCUGGUGGAGAAUGAGAUCGCAGUGCUCCGUAGGAUCAGUCACCCCAACAUCGUCGCUCUGGAGGAUGUCCACGAGAGCCCUUCCCACCUCUACCUGGCCAUGGAACUGUGAGGAGGGCCUGGGCAGGCUGUGGGAGCCGGGGAGGGACUGAGCAGUGAGUGGGGCUGAAGGCCAGGCUGAGUGCCUGGGUCAGCCAAACCCCUGGCACCCCCAGGGUGACGGGUGGCGAGCUGUUUGACCGCAUCAUGGAGCGCGGCUCCUACACAGAGAAGGAUGCCAGCCAUCUGGUGGGUCAGGUCCUUGGCGCCGUCUCCUACCUGCACAGCCUGGGGAUCGUGCACCGGGACCUCAAGGUGCCUGGCUGGGGCCUCUGCACCUCACCCUCCCACCUGCCCACCUGGCCCUGCCUUUGUUUUCCCGGGAGCACGGCUGGGGCCUUUCUUGAUCUCCCGCUCCACCAAGGCUCUGGGGAACCUGAGAGUGCCUAGUCCCCAUCCUGUCCCAGCACCGGCACCGCGUCAGGACUGACUGGCCCUUUUCCCG
rnacentral:sRNA from 1 species